rnacentral:rRNA from 1 species
AUUGAACGCUGGCGGCAGGCCUAACACAUGCAAGUCGAGCGGGGUUUUCGGACCUAGCGGCGGACGGGUGAGUAAUGCGUAGGAAGCUACCCGAUAGAGGGGGAUACCAGUUGGAAACGACUGUUAAUACCGCAUAAUGUCUACGGACCAAAGUGUGGGACCUUCGGGCCACAUGCUAUCGGAUGCGCCUACGUGGGAUUAGCUAGUUGGUGGGGUAAUGGCUCGCCAAGGCGACGAUCCCUAGCUGGUUUGAGAGGAUGAUCAGCCACACUGGAACUGAGACACGGUCCAGACUCCUACGGGAGGCAGCAGUGGGGAAUAUUGGACAAUGGGCGCAAGCCUGAUCCAGCCAUGCCGCGUGUGUGAAGAAGGCCUUCGGGUUGUAAAGCACUUUCAGUAGGGAGGAAGGGUGUUGUGUUAAUAGCACAGCAUUUUGACGUUACCUACAGAAGAAGCACCGGCUAACUCUGUGCCAGCAGCCGCAGUAACAC